AACGAACGCUGGCGGCGUGCUUAACACAUGCAAGUCGAACGGGUUUAAUGGAUGUAGCAAUACAUUCAUUAAAUUAGUGGCGCACGGGUGAGUAACACGUAGGUAACCUACCCUUCAGUGGGGGACAACAGAGGGAAACUUCUGCUAAUACCGCAUACGAUCACGGACUGGGAUGUUCGUGGUGAAAGGAUUUAUUCGCUGAGGGAUGGGCCUGCGGCCUAUCAGGUAGUUGGUGAGGUAAUGGCUCACCAAGCCUGCGACGGGUAGCCGGACUGAGAGGUCGAUCGGCCACACUGGAACUGAGACACGGUCCAGACUCCUACGGGAGGCAGCAGUGGGGAAUAUUGCACAAUGGGGGAAACCCUGAUGCAGCGACGCCGCGUGGAGGAUGACGGGCCUUCGGGUUGUAAACGUCCUUUUCGUUCUAGGGACGAAUGGUGUAUGGUACCUGACGAAUAAGACCACGGCUAACUCUGUGCCAGCAGCCGCGGUAAACGUGUAGUCGU
rnacentral:rRNA from 1 species